rnacentral:rRNA from 1 species
ACUUUCAGCGACGGAUGUCUUGGCUCCCACAACGAUGAAGAACGCAGCGAAAUGCGAUACGUCUUGCGACUUGCAGAAUCCAGUGAAUCAUCAAAACUUUGAACGCAUCUUGCGCUUCCGGGAUAUGCCUGGGAGCAUGCUUGUCGGAGUGUC